GAUGAACGCUGGCGGCGUGCCUAAUACAUGCAAGUCGAGCGAACGGACGAGCAGCUUGCUUUUCUGAUGUUAGCGGCGGACGGGUGAGUAACACGUGGAUAACCUACCUAUAAGACUGGGAUAACUUCGGGAAACCGGAGCUAAUACCGGAUAAUAUUUUGAACCGCAUGGUUCAAAAGUGAAAGACGGUCUUGCUGUCACUUAUCGAUGGAUCCGCGCUGCAUUAGCUAGUUGGUAAGGUAACGGCUUACCAAGGCAACGAUGCAUAGCCGACCUGAGAGGGUGAUCGGCCACCCUGGAACUGAGACGCGGUCCAGACUACUACGGGAGGCAGCAGUAGGGAAUCUUCCGCAAUGGGCGAAAGCCUGACGGAGCAACGCCGCGUGAGUGAUGAAGGUCUUCGGAUCGUAAAACUCUGUUAUUAGGGAAGAACAUAUGUGUAAGUAACUGUGCACAUCUUGACGGUACCUAAUCAGAAAGCCACGGCUAACUACGUG
rnacentral:rRNA from 1 species